rnacentral:rRNA from 1 species
ACGCUGGCGGCNGGCUUAACACAUGCAAGUCGAACGGUAACAGGAAGAAAGCUUGCUUUCUUUGCUGACGAGUGGCGGACGGGUGAGUAAUGCUUGGGAAUCUGUUUCAUGGAGGGGGAUAACUACGGGAAACUGUAGCUAAUACCGCGUAAUAUCGAGAGAUUAAAUGUGUGGGACCGCAAGGCCACAUGCCAUGAAGUGAGCCCAAGUGGGAUUAGAUAGUUGGUGAGGUAAUGGCUCACCAAGUCGGCGAUCUCUAGCUGGUCUGAGAGGAUGACCAGCCACACUGGGACUGAGACACGGCCCAGACUCCUACGGGAGGCAGCAGUGGGGAAUAUUGCACAAUGGGCGCAAGCCUGAUGCAGCCAUGCCGCGUGAAUGAAGAAGGCCUUCGGGUUGUAAAGUUCUUUCGGUGGUGAGGAAGGUUGGCGUGUUAAUAGCACGUUGACUUGACGUUAGCCACAGAAGAAGCACCGGCUAACUCCGUGCCAGCAGCCGCGGUAAUACGGAGGGUGCGAGCGUUAAUCGGAAUAACUGGGCGUAAAGGGCACGCAGGCGGUGACUUAAGUGAGGUGUGAAAGCCCUGGGCUUAACCUAGGAAUUGCAUUUCAUACUGGGUCGCUAGA